rnacentral:rRNA from 1 species
AGAGCUAAAACUGCAAGUCGAACGAGAGACCUCUCGGGUCUCUAGUGGCGAACGGGUGAGUAACACGUAGGGAACCUGCCCGCGCACCGGGAAUACGCUCUGGAAACGGAGAACAAAUCCCGAUGUACAGGAAGGAGGCAUCUUCUUUCUGUGAAACAUCCUUUAGGGGAUGGGGCGCGGAUGGACCUGCGGUGCAUUAGUUGGUUGGCGGGGUAAAGGCCCACCAAGACGAUGAUGCAUAGCCGGCCUGAGAGGGCGGACGGCCACAUUGGGACUGAGACACGGCCCAGACUCCUGCGGGAGGCAGCAGUAGGGAAUUUUCGUCAAUGGGCGCAAGCCUGAACGAGCGAUGCCGCGUGAGUGAAGAAGGCCUUCGGGUCGUAAAGCUCUGUUGCGGGGGAAAAAAGGCAGCAUCAGGAAAUGGGUGCUGACUGAUGGUGCCCCGCCAGAAAGUCACGGCUAACUACGUGCCAGCAGCCGCGGUAAUACGUAGGUGGCGAGCGUUAUCCGGAAUGAUUGGGCGUAAAGGGUGCGCAGGCGGUCCUGCAAGUCUGGAGUGAAACGCAUGAGCUCAACUCAUGCAUGGCUUUGGAAACUGGAGGACUGGAGAGCAGGAGAGGGCGGUGGAACUCCAUGUGUAGCGGUAAAAUGCGUAGAUAUAUGGAAGAACACCAGUGGCGAAGGCGGCCGCCUGGCCUGUUGAUGACGCUGAGGCACGAAAGCGUGGGGAGCAAAUAGGAUUAGAUACCC